rnacentral:rRNA from 1 species
UGUAAGCGUAUACCAAAGUUGUUGCAGUUAAAACGCUCGUAGUCGGAAUUUGGCAGUUCCGGAUGUGUGCACGUCGUGUGCGCACUUCGCGGGGAUUGCUUUUGUGGUCUUGCGUAGGAUGAGGCACUUUUAUUAGUGAACGUCCUCACGCAACCACUUUUUACUGUGAGAAAAUCAGAGUGCUCAAAGCAGGCAUUUGCCGUGAAUGUAUUAGCAGGGAAUAAUAGAAUAGGACUUGGUUCUAUUUUGUUGGUUUGUUGGGACUGAGUAAUGAUUAAGAGGGACAGUUGGGGGCAUUUGUAUUUCGGUGCUAGAGGUGAAAUUCUUAGAUUACCGAAAGACAAACUGCUGCGAAAGCGUCUGCCAAGGAUGUUUUCAUUGA